GAUGAAGAACGUAGCGAAAUGCGAUAAGUAAUGUGAAUUGCAGAAUUCAGUGAAUCAUCGAAUCUUUGAACGCACAUUGCGCCCGCCAGUAUUCUGGCGGGCAUGCCUGUUCGAGCGUCAUUUCAACCAUCAAGCCCCCGGCUUGUGUUGGGGACCUGCGGCUGCCGCAGGCCCUGAAAACCAGUGGCGGGCUCGCUAGUCACUCCGAGCGUAGUAAUACAUCUCGCUCAGGGCGUGCUGCGGGUUCCGGCCGUUAAAAAGCCUUAUUUACCCAAGGUUGACCUCGGAUCAGGUAGGAAGACCCGCUGAACUUAAGCAUAUCAAUAACGGAGGA
rnacentral:misc_RNA from 1 species